rnacentral:rRNA from 1 species
AUACGUAGGUGGCAAGCGUUGUCCGGAAUUAUUGGGCGUAAAGCGCGCGCAGGUGGUUCCUUAAGUCUGAUGUGAAAGCCCCCGGCUCAACCGGGGAGGGUCAUUGGAAACUGGGGAACUUGAGUGCAGAAGAGGAUAGUGGAAUUCCAAGUGUAGCGGUGAAAUGCGUAGAGAUUUGGAGGAACACCAGUGGCGAAGGCGACUGUCUGGUCUGGAACUGACACUGAGGCGCGAAAGCGUGGGGAGCAAACAGGAUUAGAUGCCCUGGUAGUCCACGCCGUAAACGAUGAGUGCUAAGUGUUGGGGGGUUUCCGCCCCUCAGUGCUGCAGCUAACGCAUUAAGCACUCCGCCUGGGGAGUACGGUCGCAAGACUGAAACUCAAAGGAAUUGACGGGG